rnacentral:rRNA from 1 species
UCUCGGCAACGGAUAUCUUGGCUCUCGCAUCGAUGAAGAACGUAGCGAAAUGCGAUACCUGGUGUGAAUUGCAGAAUCCCGUGAACCAUCGAGUCUUUGAACGCAAGUUGCGCCCGAGGCCAUCCGGCCAAGGGCACGCCUGCCUGGGCAUCACG